ensembl:lncRNA
CACAAACUCUCUCACACUUGUGUUAAACAUUUCUGAUGUUGUUAAAAGGAGACACCGCUCUCGUUAGUUGUGAUUUAAAGUCUGUCUCACCGUCUGUUCUCCAGCUCUGGAACGACGAUCCAAAUGGCCGAAAGGCACGAUCGAAUCUCCCUUUCACCAAACUUUAUUGACACGAAUCGCUCCUCGGCUGCCUGGCUGCUGAUAAACAAACAACUGCUUCCCCACCAGGCGCCUGCUGCGUGUCGCCUGUUGUUGGCGAGAGUCGAAGAACAAGAGCCCGACUUAUUCCGGAGCCACGUGACCACAGGGCUGCACGUGAAACCGCGCCGCACGGACAAGAGCGCACGCCUCUCCUCCACCCUCCUCCGCCCGCGCCCCCCUUGUGAUCGUUGAAACGGAAAG